GUUUCUCUCUCACUCUCAGCGUGCCAGCGGAAACUCGGGAGUCAAGACCCUCUAGGAAGGAGAGGAGCCGUUUGUGGAACUUGGGUUUCAUAUUUUUUUGGAGGCGAGGCCCUGCAGAGGUGGUCCGAAGAAGAAGACUGCCGGCCACACUCUUAAGCCUUUUUUUUUUUCUUGAAAAGAUUUUGAGAAAACAAACUGUCUUGUCUCUUGUUUUUCAAUUGAAGUCAGUUAAUAGAGUGCACCAUUUUUGUCUUUUGUAUUUAAAACUUCUAGUCACUUCAUAAACACACGGUGUUGGUUUGUAACUAACCAUCUCUAUCUCUCUAUGUUGUCUCUAGUCUAUUCUUUUUUCUCCCAUUAGUUAUCUGUUCCCACCUUGUAUUCUCAAUCUUUUUCUCCCAGCCUCCAAAGUGUCGAGUACUUAGAAUGUAGCUAGAAUGAGGCUAAUUCCAAACGAUUGCUAAUGCUAAAUGAAUGCCAACUGUCAAAUAUGAUUUUCUCAGUUCUCUCUUUA